AGCGGUAGACCCGCAUCCCGCAGCUUGUAAACCAGCCCCUCGUGCCACACACGGUCGAAGGCUUUCUCGAUGUCGAGAAAGACCGCGACCGUGUAUUGGCCCGAGUUGUACCGGUCCGCCAAGUGAUGCAGGACGCGAGUCAGUUGCA